CUCACAAUAACCAGGAGACCAUCCCUCACAUUCAGGGACUCGCUCAUUUCUGCGGCAUCCGAAAGGAACCAGAAAUGCUCAGACUCCACAGCACAAAAUCCCAAUGGAGUUUUUCCGUCUGCCUUUGACAAACAGCAGCUAUCGUCAUCCCCUGCCAGACAAAGUCACGGCUGGGAGAAGGGUCCUCAUGGCGCACAUUCAGACAAUCCAAGCUCCAGGAUUCACCAUCAGGCCCUUCCAGCUCACCCCAAUCCAGCCGCCAUCCCAGCACCAGGAGCUGCAGCUUCACACCUGCACAGACACGCACCGACCCACGUGGGCUGCUCCAAUCCACGCUUGGAACCCAGAAAAUCCACCAGCUACUGCCAGCUCCAAAGCCAAGCAACAAAAACCACACAGCGAAUAGAAAAGCAAACCCCUAAUUAGCCAAAAAAGCCACGAGGUCCCCAUGUGACAGAGCUAUACAGACCUGCACACAGGGGAGGGGGGAAGCAUCCACACCAAACCUGAAGUGCAAUAUAUGAACAAAUUACUUGUUCUGAUCACCUGCACUUUGAUGUUUACGCGGAUAAUGCUCGAGUUAAGGGUCAGCCACACAUCUGUGUGAUUCUCUCCACACGAGGCACCUGUUAUUCGGCCGGAACACACUGAAUGUGCAACACAAGGUGAUGUUCCAAAGUGUGUUGGUGAAGUUGGCUUCAGCGUCAGCAGAGAGACAAGCCCGGCCCCACACUCUGCAGGAAGGAAAGGAUUUAAUCCAACAUACAGUUCUGCUAUUGGAAUAUAAGGAAAGCACGCGUAUCAUGAAUCAUCUGAAUGGAGCCCAGCUCAGCCACUGCUCUCCUCCAGGAAACCAGGGAUCAAAGCAGCAGCACAGAAACACAACCCAGCACUGAGUGCCCUUCUUAAGGCACCCUGUUAGUGCUUCUCCCCCUGCACACCCACCCAGACAGGCUGCAGAUCCCUCUUCCUCACCACUUCCAUUUAAAGUCCAAAACCUCAAAUUGUCUUCAUAGGCUUUUCACAGCACCAGAGAGAGGCAGAAUGUAAUUACAGGACAGUAUUUCUUAACCAAAUCCAAGCCGCCCACUGAAAGUGAAUGGGAAAAUAUGGUUGCAAUGCAAUGCUUCUCAAUCAAGGGGACGGAUUUGCAUUUCAGAGUGAAUAAGGGCACACAGCUGUGGUCACCAUUUCUUAAUCAGCUCAGCUGAUGUCCUAUAGAAGGUCUCAAUGGAGGAACGCAGCUGCGGCCCAUAACUCUUGGCUUGAUCUUCCAUGGUUUGACUGAAAAGAACAUCAAUGCACUGAAGCUUUUCUCCAUUAAACUGGUUCUUUCAGAUCCAGCACUGGGUUCACACAGCAAGAAAAAAAAGAAAGUUUCUUUCCCAGUACACUUAGUUGGGGGUGUAAAAGGGUUUGUGAUAUAUACUGCACACUGAGGUGUGCCAGAAGAAAUAAAUGGAGUGUGUUAUUUAGCAGUUCCAA